UUUGGUUGGGUUGCCUCUUUUGAGCUGUUGACUUCGGUGAGCGUUCUUUCCCGGAUCUUUGGUUUAGAUGGUCUUAUGAGAGCUGCAACGACACACCCGAAAGGGCAAACCCAUUGAGUAUCUUGUCCGAUUGUCAAGACCAUUAUCCGCCUUAGGAUGACCUUGUUAGAAUUCACCUGUGAGGGGAGGGUUUGAUUCUUACAAGCACAGGUUCUGUCGGUGAUUCUGUGAUGGUGACUUUGUU
rnacentral:lncRNA from 1 species